UAUAUUAAAAAUACCGAAUUUAAGAAUGACGCCAAAUAGCAAAAUUGCGUCAUAGCCUGCGACACAGAACAGGUGAGUUAUAAACAAACAGAUGUGUGAGUGAUGAGCCAUGGAUUCAAAAUGCAAAAAGAGAAAGAUUGCUGAUGAGAACAGAGGCUUUAAGAAAGAAUGGACUGAACUAUUUGCUUUCAUUGCCAAUGCUGAAGCAUUGCCUGCAUGUUUGAUUUGCAAUGAGAAGUCAAAUAACAGGAGCAAUUUGGAGCGACAUUUUCAGCUAAAGCAUGCUAAAUUUGCUGCCGAUCACGCAGUUGGAACUGAGAGGAAAGGUGCAAUUGCAGGGCUGGUGGAGAAACUUGAGGACCGAAAAACAGUUUCAAGAAGUGGAUUGCAUUUCCAAACUCUACUACUGCUGCAAGUUUUGUUGCAGCCCCGGAGAUAAUAAAGCGCGGAAAACCAUUCACCGAUGGCAAGUACAUGAAGGAUUCAUUCAUUAAAAUAUCAGCGCCUAUUUUCGGACUUCAAAAACAAAACCGAGAUCAUUCAGAAAAUUAAAGACAUGCUUCUCCGCACAAAUAAUAUAACCGAUCAGCAGAUCAAGGACAUCAAUUCAGCUCCAACUUUCUCAAUUGCCUGUGAUGGAUGAGUCGUGUGACGUGACCGAUAUCGAACAGACAGCGCUGCUAUACAGGACGGGGAUACCUCUGUCCAAACGGAGUGGUUGUUUCCAGCUGUGACAUCUGCUUUGAGCAGGAAUGACUGGGCAGCAGUGAGAAGUAGCCUUGCAGGGAUGAGUGAGCUCACCUGUCUGUGCAAUGCAGCCACUCAAGUUUACAGCUUCCGUGCCUGCGGCGUGGACCACCAGAGCAUGUUGGAGCAUGCCCACUGGUGAGUACGAACAACAUACACUAACCCUGCCUUGUGCUAUACUUCAGGACAAAGACCGUUCUGUAUCAACUGGUUCAUUAUCUUUGUUUAGCUUCUUCCUGACUACAGAAGAAGUGAGGGGAUAAAAACUGCACAUCAACACGUGCAUCUUAGAAACCAAUAAGACCCUGCCAUCGCCUAUUUAAGCAUGACUGUCACCACAUCCUUUCCGGUUCACCAAGAUUGCCUCACAGCUUCAUGCACCUCGGUAACAAGUCUCCCUACGAGCCUCCUCUCACCUACAAAAGUCAAGUCAGGCUGACAGCUUCCUGUUGCAAGAUUGAGCUUGUGGUCAUGCCGUGGAGGAGCCCCUGCCGUGGAGUCCCUGCUCGACAUCCUGCUCCCAUCAGUCAAUCUAACAAAAUCACUCCAUUGUUUCUUUAUCAUUUUAAUGUCUUUAUUUAUCAUUUAAAGCAGUGGUCUCCAACCUUUUUUGCGCCACGGA